rnacentral:rRNA from 1 species
UUGCAGUUAAAAAGCUCGUAGUUGGAUUUCGGGAUGGGCCAGUCGGUCCGCCUAACGGUGUGUUUACUGGCUGGUCUGUUCUUCUUCGCAAAGACUGCGUGUGCACUUUACUGUGUGUGCGUAGGAUUUACGACGUUUACUUUGAAAAAAUUAGAGUGUUCAAAGCAGGCAUACCGCUUGAAUACAUGAGCAUGGAAUAAUGGAAUAGGACUUUGGUCUUAUUUUGUUGGUUUCUGAGACCGAAGUAAUGAUUAAGAGGGACAGUUGGGGGCAUUCGUAUUUCGUUGUCAGAGGUGAAAUUCUUGGAUUUACGAAAGACGAACAAUUGCGAAAGCAUUUGCCAAGAAUGUUUUCAUUAAUCAAGAACGAAAGUUAGAGGAUCGAAGACGAUCAGAUACCGUCCUAGUUCUAACCAUAAACGAUGUCGACUAGGGAUCAGCGAACGUCUAAUGCGACCUUCGUUGGCACCUUACGGGAAACCCAAAGUUUUUUGGAUUCCGGGGGAAGUAUGGUUGC